rnacentral:rRNA from 1 species
AUUGAACGCUGGCGGCAGGCCUAACACAUGCAAGUCGAGCGAGCGGCGGACGGGUGAGUAAUGUAUGGGGACUUCCCGAUAGAGGGGGAUAACUACUGGAAACGGUGGCUACUCCCGCAUACUGUCUGAUAACCCCUAGGGGAUUAUGUAGUGGGUAAGGGAAUGGCUUACCUAGGCGACGAUCCCUAGCUGGUCUGAGAGGAUGAUCAGACACAUUGGGGAUGAGGAACGGUCCAGCCUCCUACGGAGGCAGCAGUGGGGAAUCUUGCACAAUGGGCGCAAGCCUGAUGCAGCAAUGCCGCGUGUAUGAAGAAGGCCCUAGGGGUGUAAAGUACUGGCAGUCGUGAGGCGUUACCGACAGAAGAAGCACCGGCUAACUCCGUGCCAGCAGCCGCGGUAAUAC